ACUGCAAGCUGCGCUAUCGUUCCGUUUUUCGGGAAGGAAAGUCCGGACAGCACAGGGCAACGCACCACCUAACGGGUGGGUACCUUCCGGGGUAACAGAAAGUGCCACAGAAAAUAACUGCCGAUCAUGCACUGCAUGAGGUGAGGGUGAAAACGUAGGGUAAGAGCCUACGGGUGCGGUUGGUAACAGCCGUUCGGGGUAAACCUUGCGUGCUGAAAUGCCAAAUAUAUCCCGCCUAUUGGGCUGCCCGUCCAGGUUUCGUGCAAACGGACGGCGGGAGUGGGUAGGCAGAUAGAGGUAGUCAGCGAUGGCUAUCCCAGAUAAAUGAUAGCACUUCGACAAGCUCAGUGUAGACUAGCUAACGAAGACAGAAUCCGGCUUACAGGCUUGCAGUUUUU
rnacentral:RNase_P_RNA from 1 species